CAAGGAUACUUGAAACGCUGAUUCUGACACAGAAAUGGCUUACAAGAAGGAGAGUUCCUUUAGCUGAUGGCCUCACGUGCACAGUUUUGCCGAGAGCAAUUGCAGCACCCAGAAAAAGCCUACUGUACACGAGCCCUCACUCUUCUACUGUGCAACCCCUGGAGUCUGGGAUGAGGUUCCUAAGGCCUCAAGAAGGACAUCACUUCACACAACUCUCUUCAUGCUGACCAGGUGAGAGGCAACAUGCAGCUGCACUCAGAAAACAUACAGGAGAGAAAAUGAAACAAUGUGCUGAAGCUGCUCUGUACCCAGAGGGCUUAUGGAAAAGCCUGCAGGAAAACGUCG